rnacentral:lncRNA from 1 species
GUCAUUUGGUUUUGUUAUGUCAAUGCUAUGUAGCAUGGUGGAACUAAUAUUUACUUUUUGUUGAGUUGUAGCACAAUGUUGGGAAUAUCAGUUAGAGUCCUUGCUCGGCCACAGAACACGGCCAAGGGUUGUAACAGUUAGACAAUAGACUUAGACAACAAGGACACACCAGCUUUUACAGAUGGGUCACCAGACUGGACUGGAUUCACGACUCAUCACACCACUAACUCAACUCCUUUGGUCACAUACAUUUGUACAUUGGAUCAUCAUUAGACGUUAUUUAUGCAAACCCCUAGAGCUCUGCAUUAGUAUGAUCCAGUUGAGAAUUUAUCAGGUAAUCGUCAGAUUUACUAGUUAAAAGCAGUAUUUAAUUUUAAGUUAAACCCCCUCAUGUACAAAAUGUACAUGUGAUUCCAACAUAUAACAAACAUAUUUAUAAAGAUUAAGACAACUUUUUCUAAUCUUAUGGGUUAGAUUGAAAAGAUUUGCGCAACGUUUAUAUCUCAGUUUCUAAACUUAAAAUCCAUAAAAAUUGCUGAAUG